rnacentral:rRNA from 1 species
CUACCCUCGGGUGGGGAAUAACUCUUCGAAAGGAGAGCUAAUGCCGACAUGUGCAGCACUUUCGCGAGUAGGUGCUGGAAAGCCGUACCGUGGGUGCGGCGCCCAAGGAUGAGCUCAUGUCCUAUCAGCUUGUUGGCGGGGUAACGGCCCACCAAGGCUACGACGGGUAGCUGGUCUGAGAGGACGACCAGCCACACUGGCACUGCGACACGGGCCAG